CCUACGGGGGGCCGCAGUGAGGAAUAUUGGUCAAUGGGCGAGAGCCUGAACCAGCCAAGUCGCGUGAGGGAGUACUGCCCUAUGGGUUGUAAACCUCUUUUGUCGGGGAGCAAAAGCCGGACGUGUCCGGCUGUGAGAGUACCCGAAGAAAAAGCAUCGGCUAACUCCGUGCCAGCAGCCGCGGUAAUACGGAGGAUGCGAGCGUUAUCCGGAUUUAUUGGGGUUAAAGGGUGCGCAGGCGGAUUUUUAAGUCAGCGGUCAAAUCGUGGGGCUCAACCCCAUCCAGCCGUUGAAACUGGGGAUCUAGAGUGUGCGAGAGGUAUGCGGAAUGCGUGGUGUAGCGGUGAAAUGCAUAGAUAUCACGCAGAACCCCGAUUGCGAAGGCAGCAUACCGGUGCACAACUGACGCUCAGGCACGAAAGCGUGGGUAUCGAACAGGAUUAGAUACCCGUGUAGUC
rnacentral:rRNA from 1 species